GAUGAACGCUGGCGGCGUGCCUAAUACAUGCAAGUCGAGCGAACGGACGAGAAGCUUGCUUCUCUGAUGUUAGCGGCGGACGGGUGAGUAACACGUGGAUAACCUACCUAUAAGACUGGGAUAACUUCGGGAAACCGGAGCUAAUACCGGAUAAUAUUUUGAACCGCAUGGUUCAAAAGUGAAAGACGGUCUUGCUGUCACUUAUAGAUGGAUCCGCGCUGCAUUAGCUAGUUGGUAAGGUAACGGCUUACCAAGGCAACGAUGCAUAGCCGACUUGAGAGGGUGAUCGGCCACACUGGAACUGAGACACGGUCCAGACUCCUACGGGAGGCAGCAGUAGGGAAUCUUCCGCAAUGGGCGAAAGCCUGACGGAGCAACGCCGCGUGAGUGAUGAAGGUCUUCGGAUCGUAAAACUCUGUUAUUAGGGAAGAACAUAUGUGUAAGUAACUGUGCACAUCUUGACGGUACCUAAUCAGAAAGCCACGGCUAACUACGUG
rnacentral:rRNA from 1 species